GUUAUUUAAGCUAUUCAGUUGGCCAAUGACCAGAUUACUUGCCCAGUCCAGCUUCCACAAGGAGUGGGGAACGGUCUAUGGUUUUUUGUUUUUGUUUUUUUUUCACAUCUUGCCUGCGGAUAUGUACUUUCAUUGAGCUCCUUAUUUACAAAUUUUCAGUAAUAAGUGCGCCGUUUUCAGUAGCACGGUUUUGGAGGAGAGUGAUUUGAGGCUUUCAUAUUAAUGGGGUAUAGAAUUUCCUCCCCAUGUUAAGGACUGACGAGCUUUCAUAAACUACCCCUAGAGGGCGCUCAUCGGCCAGCAGCGGGAGCAAGAAGCCCCCAGUCUCUUGCAACAGGACCAGACUAGUGGUCUCCAGGGGCAGAGCACAACAGGCCCAUGAAAUGGUUGAAAUAGACGCCCUUUACAGUUUUUCUGCAUUCUCUCACCUAGUGGUCUCUCAGCUGCACUGCAAAAUGUAUGCUCAGUGGAAAAUUCUCCAAUUAACACUUAAUCAAGUGGCCCAACAGACCACUUUUCCUCCCAGCUGGCCUCCAGCUUUGAAGAUAAUCACUGGCACCCAGACAGGAAGUCCCAGGGCUCAGCCGUGGGUUGGGGGAUCUCCUGUAAAGCCACAGCAACAGCCCCGUCACCCUAUUCUAUACCUCCUGAUUUGCCUUGGAUGUGGCGGUCUUUAGAACACUGGGCCAAAUACUGUAAACCAUUGAGGGUUUGCCUUCUUGAAUGCUCAUGUGUGGGUACACGAUAAGAUCCUUGUUGCGAUGUCUUUGCUGUGUCUUUGCUGAGACCAGCAUGUCCCAGCGAAGUUAAGCUUGACCAAAACCCGAGAGCAUGUUAGCAUUUGCCGUGGGAUUGACAAGACAGAGCUGCACUUGGUGGUCUGCUGAAUCAUUCUACGUGUUGUCAUCUAAUGGAUCCUUCCAGGCUUGUUCAGAUGGUUGGAGGGUUGUGUUUGAGAAUGGUAAUUCCUGCUUCAAAUCCUGAAUGAUAACUCGUAUGUGUAUACAUUUCCUUCUAAGAGGGAAGAUCUGCCCUGUAGACGUUACUUCUAUACUCUUCAUUUUCCUUCUGUCAAACUCUAAAUAAUGUGGCCUACAAAACUGAAAAAGCAGCAAAAAUAAAAUGUCUUUUGGUAAUGAUUUCA
rnacentral:lncRNA from 1 species